GUGGGGAAUAUUGCACAAUGGGCGAAAGCCUGAUGCAGCGACGCCGCGUGAGCGAAGAAGUAUCUCGGUAUGUAAAGCUCUAUCAGCAGGGAAGAAAAUGACGGUACCUGACUAAGAAGCCCCGGCUAACUACGUGCCAGCAGCCGCGGUAAUACGUAGGGGGCAAGCGUUAUCCGGAUUUACUGGGUGUAAAGGGAGCGUAGACGGAGAGGCAAGUCUGAUGUGAAAACCCGGGGCUCAACCCCGGGAGUGCAUUGGAAACUGUUUAUCUAGAGUGCCGGAGGGGUAAGUGGAAUUCCUAGUGUAGCGGUGAAAUGCGUAGAUAUUAGGAGGAACACCAGUGGCGAAGGCGGCUUACUGGACGGUAACUGACGUUGAGGCUCGAAAGCGUGGGGAGCAAACAGGAUUAGAAACCCUAGUAGUCC
rnacentral:rRNA from 1 species